rnacentral:misc_RNA from 1 species
GAUGAAGAACGUAGCAAAAUGCGAUAAGUAAUGUGAAUUGCAGAAUUCAGUGAAUCAUCGAAUCUUUGAACGCACAUUGCGCCCGCCAGUAUUCUGGCGGGCAUGCCUGUUCGAGCGUCAUUUCAACCCUCAAGCACAGCUUGGUGUUGGGACUCGCGUUAAUUCGCGUUCCCCAAAUUGAUUUGCGGUCACGUCGAGCUUCCAUAGCGUAGUAGUAAAACCCUCGUUACUGGUAAUCGUCGCGGCCACGCCGUUAAACCCCAACUUCUGAAUGUUGACCUCGGAUCAGGUAGGAAUACCCGCUGAACUUAAGCAUAUCAAUAGCGGAGGA